CCCUUAGAUGUUCUGGGCCGCACGCGCGCUACACUGAAGGGAUCAGCGUGUUUUCCCUUCCCGAGAGGGACGGGUAACCCGCUGAACCCCCUUCGUGGUAGGGAUCGGAGCUUGCAAUUGUUCUCCGUGAACCAGGAAUUCCCAGUAAGCGCAAGUCAUAAGCUUGCGUUGAUUACGUCCCCGCCCUUUGUACACACCGCCCGUCGCUACUACCGAUUGAACGUUUUAGUGAGGUAUUUGGACUGGGCCUUGGGAGGUUUCGGCCUCCCUUGUUGCUCGGAAAGACUCCCAAACUUGAGCGUUUAGAGGAAGUAAAAGUCGUAACA
rnacentral:rRNA from 1 species